rnacentral:lncRNA from 1 species
CGUAACUGAAAUUAUUUAUCGAAUUCGCGCUUAGUUUGCAAUAGAAUACCCUACAAGAUGGCUGUGUAUUUUGACGACAAAACCGGUAAAGGUGUGCCUCUCACCCACGAUUGGGCUCUAGAGGUGUAAAAUGAUGGUAACUAGUCCGAAAUCGAAGAUUUAGAUGGCGAAAAUGAUGUUACUUUUGACGUUCAAAUGUUUAAAAAUAACACCGAUGACAAGGAUAUUGAAGAAACUGUAUUAGAUGAAGAACCUGUAUUGGAUGAAGAACCUGUUCCUUCAACGAGCUCUUCUUCAGCAAAGAGGCUAUGGAAAGACAUGGCAUUUCAGCAAAAAAUUUUUGUUCUAUUUUAGUUAAUAUGUAAUAGCAUAUUAAACAAUUAUAAAAAUAAUUUUUA